rnacentral:lncRNA from 1 species
UACUAACCAUUUUAUGGGUACAGUUGAACCCCGUUAAGUAUAUUCACCAUCACCCACUGUGACACCAUCCCCCACCGUUCACCUCCAGAACUUUUCUCGUCUUGCAGAACUGAAGCAGUAACUCCCCCCUCCCAGCCCCUGACAGCCACCCUUCUACUUUCCAUCUCUAUGAAGUUGAUGAUUCUCAAGCAGCUUAUAUAAAAAUUAUAUGGUAUUUGUCCUUUUGUAACUGGUUUAUGUAUACUGCGGCCAUCCAUGUUUGGAAUAAGAAUUACAUUUAAUUCUGCAAGGUCAGUGGAAAAAAUGGAUGCGUUUUUACUGUCUGAGCUUUGUCAAGUCACAUUCCUUGAUGGACUUAAGAAUUGUUAUCUUGGGAGUUCCCGUUGUGGCUCAGCAGGUUAAGAACCUAAUAUGGUGUCCACAAGGAAGUGGGUUCUAUCCCUGGCUUUGCUCUGCAGGUUAAGGAUCCAGCAUUACUGCAGCCUGCAGCGUGGGGCAUAGAUGCAGCUCAGAUCCACUGUGGCUGUGGUGUAGGCCUCAGCUGCAGCUCUGAUUUGACCCCCUAGCCUGGGAAUUGCCAUGUGUGGCAGGUGUGGACAUAAAAAGAAAAAAAAAAAAAAGAGUUGUUAUCUGUGGGCACUUGAGAACUUGGGACUGGUUAACACACUUGCCUUGGUCCAUUAGGUGGUAAACUGUGGUGUUAAGAUCAGGCUCGCUCAGAACUCGCUUCUCCACUCCUGGGCCUGGGGAUCAUUGGAGUGUCCUGAGAUUUUAGAGGACUUGAGGCCCAGCACCUGCCUACAAGCAUGGUGGGUGAUGGCCAGUCUUGCUUGACUUGAAUUGGGUGGUGAACAUGUGGCUUAUUUUCACCAGAUUCAGGUACAUGCUAAGGGAGAUUGAGCAAACUGUGAGCAUCCGGGCCAGUCUCAUUACCGCCACCAGCAUCUCCUUCCCAGUCUUCAGUCCCCUAAAAUCACCCCAUCUAAGUCUCAUCAGAUAAAACAAUUGAGUAAAUGUGGAUUUCUUGAGCGCCUCCAUAUUAGUAACCUGCUCACUGCCACUCAUUUUUUUUUAAUUCAUGUAGUUUUAUUUUAUCUUUACUUUUUUUCCAUUAUAUGUAUUUUUAAUUGCCGUUCAUUCUUCACCUCUUUCAGUUGCGGAGGGAAUGGGAACUCAGGCAUGUGCCAGACACGUUGUUCUUUAAAGUUCUGGAUACAUUUGCGAUGCCAUGCGAAUAUGUAUUGAUUUUAUUGCACAGACUAUAUUGACAUAAUGCAAAAUUAAACAGACUCUUCGUACUGGGUGGAACCUCAGGGUGGUGGUUCUUCCAUCCAGAGGCAACGUGUGAGCUCUGUUAAAUAUUUAAUAAAUCAUCAAUAACUAUUUAUUUUGAUAUUAAUCAGUGUGAUGUCUCUCUGGAAGCCAGAUGUAGGUUUGUGCUCCCAAGGUGGCUGAGAGAGAUUUGGGAAACCCUCGGAGUCUCUUCCUCCCUCAUAUGGGCCAUACACCUCCCCAGCCCAGCUUCACCACCCCCCCACCAGCCAGCAUCAGCACCAGCAAGGCUGAGAGAUGGCAGAUGCCAGGCGGAGCUGCAGUGUCUGCCCUUCCUUAGCCCUGCCAGCUCCCAAACUUUAAUUCUGCGCAUGUGAAUCACCCGGCGUCUUGUUAACAUGCAGAUUAUGACUCCUUAGGUCUGGAGUGGAACUGAGGUUCUGCAUUUCUAACAAGCUCCUGGGUGAUGCUGCUGCUGCCAGUCCGUGGACCACUCUGCACAGCGAGGCUCCUGGGAACCAGGGCUAUGGAAGAAGCAGGCCAGGCUGGGUUCAGGGCGGUGAGCAUCCAGGGCACAGUGUAAGGAGGUGGUCACCCUCCCAGAAAUCUGGGCGCACCUAGGGCGACCCCUCCUCUCUACACAUGCAAGUGCAGGCUGCCUUCACCCCCAGGGCCAGCACUUCCUUACAUCUUGUGACUUGCUCCCACCCCUUCAAGAGGCCAGCCCCCACCUGGACAUCCCGGGCGUAUACCUCAUACUCACUGAUGCCCUCUCUUGCUUUGGCCCCCUCACCAAGGAUGUGCUUGACGCCGAUGAUUUUCCUCCCUGUAGCCCCUACCCCCACCCCAGCUGCACACUCUUGCACCUGCAACUUUGGCAGGUGGCUGCACGGGCCCUGCCGCAGCUCGCUGCCUCUGAGGUCUCCCAAGUGAGUGGUGUUCCUCACAGAGGCCUGGUCCUCCCGCAGUCGCGUCCCGUGCCUUUGAAGACAGGUGUGGGCGUGUGACAGGUGUUCUGCAGUGGAACGUGGCAGAAGGGACAUGUCCUGUCCCAUGUGGGAGCUGUAAGGGCAGAUGGUGAUUCUUCACGUCCUCCUCCUUCGAGGCGGGGUGACCGCAGGAGCAGGGGUGAGACGGAGGCUCCCAGAGUGAUUUCCGGGAGCAUCGCCUCUGGCCGCCUCACUUGGGCACGUGCGGAUGAGAAGCGAACAGCUGUGCUGUUUCACCUGGAAGAUCCCCCUGGUUGGGUGUGACUGCAGCGGGGCCCCGCCUCCCCCAGUGAUGCUGCCCAGCUGGGUGCAGGUUACCUGUUCUCUGCCUUGUAGAUUUAAGUUGCUGAUUGCUCUGCUCAGGCUUUUCCCCCAAGUGUCUUACCUUCGGACUGCUUUGGGCUUGAGUUUCCUCCUGCAGCAUCUGGACUCCUCCUCCAGGCCUUCCCCAAAGUGUUUUUGGAGAGGUUCUUCAGGCCAAGUCUGUUCUCAAUGUCCCUCUUCCUGAAAAGGUCCCCUAUUCUUAGUUUUCCAGCAAGCCCCUCUUGCCAUCGCCUUGAGAAAAGACAGUAUCAGUGAAUGGAGUUGGGAUUCCAUUGCAAGAUGUCCGUUGUCAAUCAGGGGGCUCUCUCCUUGUCAACACAGAGAGAAAUAUUCCGUGGUAUUUCAUACCACCUGCCAUUUCCCUACCUGGAUGGUCCAUGUUCAUUUACCUGGGCUUCUCUUGUGAGGCACCCAGUUGACAGCGUCUCUAUGUCAUAAACAUUACUGCAUCCUUGUAUGUCCACCUGUCCUGACACCAGAUUCCUGGAGCGUGUUUGCUGAGUCCAGUAAUGCCGGUGUCUCCUGGGAGAGCCACGGUGCCCAGAGCUAGCUGCCCUCUUCGCCAGGGCACCCCCCACACUCCCUCCAUCAACAAACAUUUCAGUGUUGGUGAACUAAUGUCUCAGGUAUAUGGUUACAUAUUUGUGUGCAGAAAGACCCUCAGAAUCCCUCCAGCGAAGCAUCAUUUAUGCCCCAUCAUUGUCUUUUUCAACCAGUAAAUAUCAAGAUACAGGAGAGCUUUUUACCAUCUUUUCCAUGAUUUGUUUGGAGACCACUCCCUGCAGAGCAUGAAUUAGAGGGGUAACAGGAGAGGCGGGGAGAGGCGGCCCGGAUGAUCAGAGAUGGUGGGCACCGAGGUGGGCUCAGCUGGGGCAGGGGGGCGGGUCCUUCUUUACAGUUGCUGCCAAGAUGCUGGGACAGGCAGACAGGAGCCCUCUCCCCAGCUGUGAAUGCGCAUUGGGAAAUUCAGGAGAAAGCCCUUCUAGCGGGUGGGGUGGGUGUGGGUGGCGGGGGGUGGGGAGACCUGGAGAUGGAAUGAGAGCUGAGAAAGGUCCCUUGGGGGAGGGGCUCCACCCCAGCAGCUCUGUCCUCCUCAGUCAGCCACCUGCUCUGCCAGGAUGGUUGGGAGUGGGGGGCGGCCCUGGUGCCUUCUCCACCUGCUACCCCAGCCCCGUUCCUGCAGCACAUGUGCAGGCCUGGAGCUCACUCCUGCCCUGUGAGCUGCCAAGGAGGAAGUCACAGUAGUUAAUGGUUUUCUAUUGACUUUCCCGCAGGUUAAUAGAACCUGCGAAGAGCUGCCACGACAGUGAAAGGUGCUUCAUCCCCAGGCUGUCAGGCUGCGCAUACCUCCUGGGCAGCCCUGGCAGGUUGUCCUGUCCCCUUGCAGCUGGUCUGUGACUUGCCCAGGCCUAAACACCCUCCUCUGUGAGCACCCCGCAGCUUCUGAGGCCCUUAGUUCAUAUGCAUGUGUGCACACAUGUCUAUGCACAUGUGAGUGCAUGCAUGUGCACCUGCUCCCCCACAAACACACACACUGCCAGCUGGGGUGUGUGUGGGUGUGAGCCCAUCUGAGCCUGUGCUCACAAAGAGAGGGGCAAAGAGAGGGAUCAGGUCAGGGGGGAAAGGAGGGACCAUGCAAAUCGUCAUCAGGUCUAGAACCAAAUGAAGACCUCUCCUCACUCAUUUAUUCCCAGUUUUCCUCCUGGGUCUGGUUUCUGGGGGCUGUUGGUUAGGACUGAAUGGUGUCAGCGUUAAUAACACUAACGGCACAUUCUGUAUACACAGUACAUUUGUUUCAGGAAUGCGUCUCCAUCUCUGACAAGCCUGCGUGUCCCUCGAAGCUGAGAGAUUAAAGGAGAGAAUGUGCCCAUUAUACAGAUUAAGAGACGAAGGCCCCCCUGGACACACCAUGCUUUCCUCUUUUCCCAGAAGGUCAUGGAUGAUACUUAGACAUUUGAUCUUUCACUCUCUUAGUGCCCCCCCCAAUCAAUAUUUCUGCAGGGACCUUGGCAGGGGGACUGUAGGUCCAGAGCAGCACUGCCCAGUAGAACUUUCUGCAAUGACAGACGUACGGUACCCCACCUGUACUUGUAUGGCAGUCCUAUCCAGCAUGGCAGCACCCACCCCAGGUGUUUCUUGAGCACUUGAAACACGGCGCAGCCGAGGGACUGCAUUUCUAAUUUUACUUCAAUUUAACUAAUUUAAAUUAAGAUAGCCCCAUGUGGCUUGUGGCUUCCAUACUGGACCAGAUGGAGUGUAUACAGGAAAGAGCACUUGGGAAGGCAGAAUUCAUGGAGUGCAUGAUAGACGCUCUUUGGUGCCUUUUGGUCUGUGAUCCCUUCACAGGAGCCAGUUGGGAAGGAGAAGGGGCGGGGAGCUGUGACCACCCAGGGGUCAUUAAAGGUAUGGAAGCAUCUGCCGGGUCCAGCCCUCCAAGAGAAACUUUCCACGUGGAACAGAGUCUCCCUUAAGGGCCUUGGGAAUACCUUUUUCAGAAAUAGAAGAUUCUUACUCACAUGGUUUGCUAGAAUGCGUACUUGUUUUCUGCCUUCUGGCAAAUGCAUAGUGAAAUUUCGUUAAGACCUGUCCCACCAAAAUCAGAUUUGAUGAUGUGCCUGUCCUCUUACCAACUUGUAGAACAGGAUCCACGUGGUAAAUUCAUGUUCGGUUCUGGGGUCUUCCAGAAAAAUAGGAAAUCCUAUCUCUGCAGACCCAGUGCCGUCUCCCCCAGCAGAAAAUGAAACUGGUGUGGCAUGGCCUGCUUCUCUUUUGUCAUAAAUGUCUCAAAACAUCCAGGCAAAGGCCCUGCCCAGUCACACUCAGUGGUUUAUCUCCGGGAUGAUGCAGAAUCUAACCGUACUUCCUCAAGGCCAGCCCUGCCACCACUAGAAGUACAUAAAAAUCCCUGGGGAGCUUUAAAAAUAACCCCCUGGGCCAAUUAAACCAGACUCUGUAGGCACAGCCUGAGAAUGGACAUCUCUCAAAGUCUUGAGCCUGCAGAGUGGAGCACCUGGCUUUCCAUGGUCUUUUUCCCCACCUGCUUUAUUUUGCAUUUAAUUUCCUUGUAAGCCACCCAAGGUCCAUUUAGAAGUAGACUGGUAAACCUUAAAUACACGUCUUCAUCCUUUUCAUUAGAGAAAGUAUACCAGAGUUCCCCUUGUGGCUCCGCAGAUUAAGAACCCACUUGGUAUCCAUGAGCAAGUGGGUUUGAUCCCUGGCCUUGCUCGGUGGAUUAAGGAUCCACCAUUGCUGCAAGUAUAGUUUGCAGAUGCAGCUGGGAUCCUGCGUUGCUGUGGCUGUAGUGUAGGCCGGCAGCUGAAGCUCCAGUUUGACUCCUAGCCUGGGAACUUCCAUAUGCUAUGGG